rnacentral:rRNA from 1 species
GAUGAACGCUGGCGGCGUGCUUAACACAUGCAAGUCGAACGAAGCAUUUAGAACAGAUUAUUUCGGUAUGAAGUUCUCUAUGACUGAGUGGCGGACGGGUGAGUAACGCGUGGGUAACCUGCCUUGUACUGGGGGAUAGCAGCUGGAAACGGCUGGUAAUACCGCAUAAGCGCACGGUGCCGCAUGGCACAGUGUGAAAAACUCCGGUGGUAUAAGAUGGACCCGCGUCUGAUUAGCUAGUUGGUGAGAUAACAGCCCACCAAGGCGACGAUCAGUAGCCGACCUGAGAGGGUGACCGGCCACAUUGGGACUGAGACACGGCCCAGACUCCUACGGGAGGCAGCAGUGGGGAAUAUUGCACAAUGGAGGAAACUCUGAUGCAGCGACGCCGCGUGAGUGAAGAAGUAAUUCGUUAUGUAAAGCUCUAUCAGCAGGGAAGAUAGUGACGGUACCUGACUAAGAAGCUCCGGCUAAAUACGUGCCAGCCGCCGCCGUAA